UGCAGUCGAGCGGUAGCACAAGGAGAGCUUGCUCUCUGGGUGACGAGCGGCGGACGGGUGAGUAAUGUCUGGGAAACUGCCUGAUGGAGGGGGAUAACUACUGGAAACGGUAGCUAAUACCGCAUAACGUCGCAAGACCAAAGAGGGGGACCUUCGGGCCUCUUGCCAUCAGAUGUGCCCAGAUGGGAUUAGCUAGUAGGUGGGGUAAUGGCUCACCUAGGCGACGAUCCCUAGCUGGUCUGAGAGGAUGACCAGCCACACUGGAACUGAGACACGGUCCAGACUCCUACGGGAGGCAGCAGUGGGGAAUAUUGCACAAUGGGCGCAAGCCUGAUGCAGCCAUGCCGCGUGUGUGAAGAAGGCCUUCGGGUUGUAAAGCACUUUCAGCGAGGAGGAAGGUGGUGAACUUAAUACGUUCAUCAAUUGACGUUACUCGCAGAAGAAGCACCGGCUAACUCCGUGCCAGCAGCCGCGGUAAUACGGAGGGUGCAAGCGUUAAUCGGAAUUACUGGGCGUAAAGCGCACGCAGGCGGUUUGUUAAGUCAGAUGUGAAAUCCCCGGGCUCAACCUGGGAACUGCAUUUGAAACUGGCAAGCUAGAGUCUCGUAGAGGGGGGUAGAAUUCCAGGUGUAGCGGUG
rnacentral:rRNA from 1 species